UUUAGAUUAGUUUAAUUAAAAUUUUUGAUUUUGGUUUGAAAGAUUAUUCUAAAU
rnacentral:tRNA from 1 species